GGGCCCGCACAAGCGGUGGAGCAUGUGGUUUAAUUCGAUGAUACGCGAGGAACCUUACCAGGGCUUAAAUGUAGUAUGACCGGCUUGGAAACAGGCCUUCUCUUCGGAGCAGAUUACAAGGUGCUGCAUGGUUGUCGUCAGCUCGUGCCGUGAGGUGUUAGGUUAAGUCCUGCAACGAGCGCAACCCCUAUUCUUAGUUGCCAGCGGUUCGGCCGGGGACUCUAAGAAGACUGCCAGCGCAAGCUGAGAGGAAGGUGGGGAUGACGUCAAAUCAUCACGGCCCUUACGUCCUGGGCUACACACGUGCUACAAUGGUAGAGACAGAGGGCAGCCACCUGGUGACUGGAUGCAAA
rnacentral:rRNA from 1 species